rnacentral:pre_miRNA from 1 species
CAGCUUUUGUGAUUUAGCAAUUGUCCACUACACAAAUUGCAUAGUCACAAAAGUGAUC